GUAAGGAGGGAAUCCCCCUCAAGAGAUGAGAUGUACUACACAAGGCUACAAGUUUCUCUGUAAAAGUCUGACUUUUAGAUUAAUCAGAAAACGCGUCUUAUUUUUAUUCGUUCCUUUAAUGACAGAUGUUAGGACCUGGACACUUUUUUUUAUUUUUCUGCAUUUACUACAGUCAGAGGCAUUAAUUUAAAUCCAGUGACAGAUGAGACUUCAGUCUCUCUCUGUUUGAACAAACAUCACUAUGAAGUAUAGCAGUAGCAAAUCAUCUGAUGUCAAAAAUCAUGUCAGAAAAGAGAUGAGGAGUUUUUGGUUUUGAAACUAAAUUUUGAACUGAGCCAUGUUGGUCUUGAAAGAGCUGACUUUUCAGAAUGAAACUUUUCAUUCCUGAAGGGGUUCAUUUCACAACAAUGACCCGCUAGCUGUACAUUAUCCCGCUCAUUACACGGCUACUUACUGAAGAAAUCAAUAAUUUGACACAAAAAUGGUCCAAAGUCUGCGUCCAUAGCAAGUUUGUUAUUCACAACAGCGGGCUCCUAUAAAGACAUUAUAGUCCGUAGAACACCGUGAUUGACCAAUCAGAAUCGAGUAUUAAACAGAGACACGUCAUUUUUGUUUGUUUGUAAAGUUGUAACUCCUGCUGUUUUUGUGUUUUGUUUGUUUUGUGUAUUGUUCAAAUGGGUUCAGUACAUAUUUGGAACUGGACAUAUAUGUAGUUAUUGCCAGAACCUCAAUUAAAAAAAACCAAAGCCAUGUAAUAAUAUUAGAUGAUAUCCUAGAGUCCAAGGUCAACAGUCAAAAACCUAAAAAAUAUUAAAUUUAGAACCAAGAAAAUCAUGAAAUGAUCACAUCUGACAACCUGGAACCAUGCUUGGAAAAUGAUUUAAACUGUUAAUUGGUUGUAAUAAUAGUUGCAGAUUAUCUCUCUCGAUUAAUCGAGUAAUCAUUGCAGUUCUAAUUAAUGCAUUUAUUUGCUCUAGUCUACUUCAUGCAUGCAGGGACACUAGCAGUGUCAGAAUAUGGACGCCAGACGUUUUUUUUUAAGAUUAUUUUUUGGGGCAUUUUUUCGCCUUCCUUAGAGAGAUGACAGCGUAGAGGAGUACUAAAAACGGAGGGAGGGAGAGAGGGAGAGAGGGAGAGAGGGGUAUGACAUGCAACAAAGGUCCCAAGGUCAGAAUCGAACCCGGGACGUUGCGUUUGUGUGGCACGUGCUGCUGUAACCAUUCGGCUAGACAGAAGCUUUUGAUUUGGGGCUUCACCAGCAGCCUGAGACUUUGACCACAAGGCAUGCAGGAGCCAUGGAGAGCACAGAUGGGGCCUGUGGCAGAGGCCUGCCUUUCACAGGCCUGCGCCAGGAGAGAGAGUCAUCCAUCAGGCCACGGCACUCUGGUGCCUAGGGGGGGCCAUUCACUGACCCUAUAAGACUGUUCGGGGCUCAGUGGGAGGCCAGACCCCCCGACUACAUGGACAUCAGUGUCUGGCGUGCUCCACUGAGGCCUGAUCUGAACAGGACCGAGCCAAAGCAGUGACCUGCUUCCGUUUGGAUUCUGUGGAGGGAGAUAUCUAGAUCACAGAUAAUGCUCUGCAAAAAAAAAAAAAUACAGUCUAAACUUUAAUAUUUUACAUCUCAACUAAAACUAAUUUAACAAACACUUGAUAUGUCAAAACAGGUCGACCUUCUACCUUAAAGAAUUCACGACCCCUGACCAUAUAUUUAGCCUCUGAUGCAACUCUAUUACUGUAAUUACAUUGUGCCGUAGUUAAUACAGUGUAAAACUACAGAUGAAGCGAUAUGAAUCUAAUUACGUUAUCCGACGGUCUUCUGAGCCGAUGAGGUCACAGACGGCAUCAGCCAGACGAGCGGCUGGAACCUGCGGCAGCCAAGACAAGCCGCGUGAUUGACAGGUGAACGAGUAAACAGAGAGAUAGUUAGACAAAUGGAAGCUAAGAUAUAGUUUGACAGACAGAUGGGAGCGUAAAUGGAUGGUUUGGCAGCAUGAUAAGGUAAAUAGGCUGAUGGAUCACAAAACAAAUGUGGGAGGAGGAAGGAAGAAAAUAAAAGGAGAAGAAAAGAAAAGAGUGCCUGCCUGCAGACAACAAAAGAUAGAAAGCCAGAUAGUCUGAUGAACACAGAUGGAUCGUGUUGAUUCGCGGCGAGGUGGGGCAAGAUCGAUAGAUUGUUUUAUUCUAUUUGCUUGGCAAACUGGAGAUUUGAUGUGGCUGGUAUCGGGGCGAUCUGCUUCUGAGGACUCCAGGCGUGACUGUUACAGAUGGCGAGAUAGGGACACAUCUCAAUCUUUGGCUAGCUGGCUCAGUGCAGUCGAUCUUAGCUGUAGUGCUAGUAGCACCACCAUCGGUGUCAUCACUUCUGGAGUGUUACAUCAAAAAGGUCUUGUGUGCAUACAGUACUUGCCAACCUUGAGAUCUCAGAAAGAGGGAGGGUCUCAAAACCAAAGCAAAGGGUCUGGUGGUCUUCCCCCAGAAAAAGUUGAGUUUCAGAGACUUUGUUUCAUUCUGGUGACUUUUAAAGAUUUUUUUUGGCCAUUUUGCCUUUAU